CAGCCCUCAGGGAUCAUUUCUGUAGCUUGUCACUAGAGAAGUUAUUUUGAUGGUGUACAGCACUGGAAACCAUGAGGAGGAGACAUAGUGUUCUCUCCUGAAUGUGAAGCUGGCUCUUAGUGUUGCUUUGUUGAAACUGUCUUACCUUUGAUGAUCAUCCUUUUUCUCCCUUUGGGAGAGAACACAGUGUAAGUUGA
rnacentral:snoRNA from 1 species